rnacentral:rRNA from 1 species
GACGAACGCUGGCGGCGUGCUUAACACAUGCAAGUCGAACCGUAAGGCCCUUUCGGGGGUACACGAGUGGCGAACGGGUGAGUAACACGUGGGUGAUCUGCCCUGCACUUUGGGAUAAGCCUGGGAAACUGGGUCUAAUACCGGAUAGGACUACGCGAUGCAUGUCGUGUGGUGGAAAGCUUUUGCGGGGUGGGAUGGGCCCGCGGCCUAUCAGCUUGUUGGUGGGGUGAUGGCCUACCAAGGCGACGACGGGUAGCCGGCCUGAGAGGGUGUACGGCCACACUGGGACUGAGAUACGGCCCAGACUCCUACGGGAGGCAGCAGUGGGGAAUAUUGCACAAUGGGCGCAAGCCUGAUGCAGCGACGCCGCGUGGGGGAUGACGGCCUUCGGGUUGUAAACCCCUUUCAGCACAGACGAAGCGUAAGUGACGGUAUGUGCAGAAGAAGCCCCGGCCAACUACGUG